AACUCACUUAGAGUAAUGUCUAAGUAUCAUUAAGUGAAUACAUAGCUUAAUGAGGGGAACUCAGGGAACUGAAACAUCUAAGUACCUGAAGGAAGAGAAAGAAAUUCGAUUCCGUAAGUAGCGGCGAGCGAACGCGGAUUAGCCCAAACCAAUAAAGUUUUCUUUAUUGGGGUUGCGGACAUAUCAUAACGAAGAGGUAUCGUAAUUGAAGAGGUUUGGAAAGACCCACCACAGAAGGUAAUAGUCCUGUAUGUUAAACGAGAAGACUUCAGAUAUGAUCCAGAGUACCACGGGACACGUGAAACCCUGUGGGAAGCAGGAGGGACCACCCUCCAAGGCUAAAUACUACCUAGUGACCGAUAGCGUAUAGUACCGUGAGGGAAAGGUGAAAAGAACCCCGGGAGGGGAGUGAAAUAGAACCUGAAACCCUGCACUUACAAGCUGUGGAAGCACAUUUCUUGUGUGACCGCGUACUUUUUGUAGAACGGGCCAACGAGUUACGUUAAGUAGCAAGGUUAAGCACUUAAGGUGCGGAGCCGUAGCGAAAGCGAGUUUUAACUGAGCGUUCAGUUACUUGACGUAGACCCGAAACCGGGCGACCUACCCAUGAGCAGGAUGAAGCGAAAGUAAAAUUUCGUGGAGGUCCGAACCCACGAGCGUUGAAAAGCUCGGGGAUGACUUGGUGGGUAGCGGUGAAAUUCCAAUCGAGCCCGGAGAUAGCUGGUUCUCCCCGAAAUAGCUUUAGGGCUAGCCUCAAGGUGAGAGAUACGGAGGUAGAGCACUGAAUGUCCUAGGGGGUAUUGCACCUACCGAAGACUAUCAAACUCCGAAUGCCGUCAUCUUAUACUUGGGAGUCAGACUGUGGGUGAUAAGAUUCAUAGUC
rnacentral:rRNA from 1 species